GCGAAGAACCUUACCUACUCUUGACAUCYASAGAAUCCUGCGGAGACGCGGGAGUGCCUUCGGGARCUSURAGACAGGUGCUGCAUGGCUGUCGUCAGCUCGUGUUGUGAAAUGUUGGGUUAAGUCCCGCAACGAGCGCAACCCUUAUCCUUGUUUGCCAGCGAGUAAUGUCGGGAACUCCAGGGAGACUGCCGGUGAUAAACCGGAGGAAGGUGGGGACGACGUCAAGUCAUCAUGGCCCUUACGAGUAGGGCUACACACGUGCUACAAUGGCGCAUMCAGAGGGCAGCGAACUUGCGAGAGUAAGCGAAUCCCAAAAACUUUGUYAUAGUCCGGAUUGGAGU
rnacentral:rRNA from 1 species